rnacentral:rRNA from 1 species
UACGUAGGUGGCAAGCGUUAUCCGGAAUUAUUGGGCGUAAAGCGCGCGUAGGCGGUUUUUAAGUCUGAUGUGAAAGCCCACGGCUCAACCGUGGAGGGUCAUUGGAAACUGGAAAACUUGAGUGCAGAAGAGGAAAGUGGAAUUCCAUGUGUAGCGGUGAAAUGCGCAGAGAUAUGGAGGAACACCAGUGGCGAAGGCGACUUUCUGGUCUGUAACUGACGCUGAUGUGCGAAAGCGUGGGGAUCAAACAGGAUUAGAUAC